rnacentral:rRNA from 1 species
UAACAAGGAUUCCCCUAGUAACUGCGAGUGAAGCGGGAAAAGCUCAAAUUUAAAAUCUGGUAGUCUUAUGGCUGCCCGAGUUGUAAUCUAGAGAAGUGUUACCCGCGUUGGACCGUGUACAAGUCUCCUGGAAAGGAGCAUCAUAGAGGGUGAGAAUCCCGUCUUUGACACGGACUGCCAGGGCUUUGUGGUACACUCUCAAAGAGUCGAGUUGUUUGGGAAUGCAGCUCAAAAUGGGUGGUAAAUUCCAUCUAAAGCUAAAUAUUGGCGAGAGACCGAUAGCGAACAAGUACCGUGAGGGAAAGAUGAAAAGAACUUUGGAAAGAGAGUUAAACAGUACGUGAAAUUGCUGAAAGGGAAACGCUUGAAGUUAGUCGCGUUGGCUGGAAAUCAACCCUUUGGGUGUACUUUCUAGUUGACGGGUCAGCAUCAAUUUUGAUUGUUGGAUAAAGGCUUAGGGAAUGUGGCAUCUUCGGAUGUGUUAUAGCCCUAGGUUGCAUACAACAGUUGGGAUUGAGGAACUCAGCACGCCGAAAGGCCGGGUAUUUUACCACGAUUCGUGCUUAGGAUGCUGGCAUAAUAGCUUUAAUCGACCCGUCUUGAAACACGGACCAAGGAGUCUAACAUGCCUGCGAGUAUUUGGGUGGAAAACCCGGAUGCGUAAUGAAAGUGAAAGUUGAGAACCCUGUCGUGGGGUGCAUCGACGCCCGGACUUGAUGUUUACUGACGGUUCCGCGGUAGAGCAUGUAUGUUGGGACCCGAAAGAUGGUGAACUAUGCCUGAAUAGGGUGAAGCCAGAGGAAACUCUGGUGGAGGCUCGUAGCGAUUCUGACGUGCAAAUCGAUCGUCAAAUUUGGGUAUAGGGGCGAAAGACUAAUCGAACCAU